rnacentral:rRNA from 1 species
AGUGAACGCUGGCGGUAGGCCUAACACAUGCAAGUCGAACGGCAGCACAGUAAGAGCUUGCUCUUACGGGUGGCGAGUGUCGGACGGGUGAGGAAUACAUCGGAAUCUACUUUUUCGUGGGGGAUAACGUAGGGAAACUUACGCUAAUACCGCAUACGACCUACGGGUGAAAGCAGGGGAUCUUCGGACCUUGCGCGAUUGAAUGAGCCGAUGUCGGAUUAGCUAGUUGGCGGGGUAAAGGCCCACCAAGGCGACGAUCCGUAGCUGGUCUGAGAGGAUGAUCAGCCACACGGGAACUGAGACACGGUCCAGACUCCUACGGGAGGCAGCAGUGGGGAAUAUUGGACAAUGGGCGCAAGCCUGAUCCAGCCAUACCGCGUGGGUGAAGAAGGCCUUCGGGUUGUAAAGCCCUGUUGUUGGGAAAGAAAAGCAGCAGGUUAAUACCCCGCUGUUCUGACGGUACCCAAAGAAUAAGCACCGGCUAACUUCGUG